AGAGAGUGGCCAGGAGCUGCCUGUCUAGUGAGACGCGGAAGGGCGUGGUGGGCACAACUAAGAAAUGUGAAAAGAGAGAGAGAAAAAAAGAACUUGGCUGAGGCUGAAGGCCCUGUAACGGAGAAACCGAUUCUACCAGACCCAAAGAGAGGCAGCCUGAGUUAGGGUGUACAAACGCUGAUCUGGGUACCCCUGAAGCAGGGCCUUUAGAGGUUACUUCGGCUCUGGAAACUGGCCCGUAUUUGAGGAACUGAUGGCUCAAAUCUUAGCGCAUAGGUAGUUAAAUACAUAAAGAAGACCUGUCAUGGGAGAGUUGAGUGCGCGGGGCGAGCGAAGUCUUCGGGAGGCGACAGCUGCAGAAGCGGCAUUCGUUGGAAUAUGCAAUUAGGAGGCCCGCUCCAGUCCCACACGCUAUCCUGUUGACAGACAGUACUGCACACCCCCAACUCUUGUCCCUGGGCUGCUGAUCCAUUCUCAAACGUCAGCGGUCCCAUCAGGAUGUUCUCUUUUUUCUGGGAUGUAAUUCAUUUAGGGGAGGACACAUGGACUCAAGUUAAAUACGGGCAAUGUUGCGUACGUUUACUAGAUCACCUCUCCUCACCCGCACGUAAACUUGGGAGGAACAGAGACAGAGCUGUAUCUAUUUUAUCCGUUGUUGUAUCCCUGUCGCCUAGCAGUGCGCAUUUCCCGAAUGAAUGAAUUAAGUAGAGAACAUUUUGCUAGAAUCAUUUUGCCCCCUUAGGAGUUCAGUCCUUAGGCGUUCCACCUUGCCCAGCCUGAAGAAGAUUCUCUGAAGAAAUGGGAAUAAAAUGGAAGUGAAGCAUUGUACCAACUGUUUAUUUAGCGCCUACUAUGCAAUAUGGUGUAGGAUAAAGAGCAAAAACAGUUUUGGGGGCGUUGGGGAGGAGAAUAUUAAGUAAUGAUAUUAAUGAGGACAUAAUUAUCCACUGAGAGAAGUGUAGUAAGGAAGGGAAUACUAUUCUAUGAUAGGGUAUUAUAAAAGAUCCUUGAUGCGGGGAGGAGCAACAUACCGAUGGUUAACUGAUGUGAAGAAUCAGAAAUUGGCAAAAAGGUGGGAUGGUGGAGUGGAACAGCGAUCAAGAGACAAAGGCACUGAAGAGGAACCAUCGAUUGUAACAGGAUCCGGUGCAUCAGAGACUAAACCGAACCUAUUCCUACUCUUUUCUUCUUGCUUCAGAAAUGACUU